rnacentral:rRNA from 1 species
AGAAUCAACGCUGGCGGCGUGCCUAACACAUGCAAGUCGCACGAGAAAGGGGAGCAAUCCCUGAGUAAAGUGGCGCACGGGUGAGUAACACGUGAAUCAUCUACCCUCGGGUGGGGAAUAACCUGGAGAAAUCCGGGCUAAUACCGCAUAACACUUACGAGUCAAAGCAGAAAUGCGCCUGGGGAGGAGUUCGCGGCCGAUUAGCUAGUUGGCGGGGUAAUGGCCCACCAAGGCGAUGAUCGGUAUCCGGCCUGAGAGGGCGCACGGACACACUGGAACUGAAACACGGUCCAGACUCCCUACGGGAGGCAGCAGUGGGGAAUUUUGCGCAAUGGGGGAAACCCUGACGCAGCAACGCCGCGUGGAGGAUGAAAUCCCUUGGGAUGUAAACUCCUUUCGAUCGGGAAGAUAAUGACGGUACCGAGAGAAGAAGCCCCGGCUAACUUCGCGCCAGCAGCCGC